UAAUUAAAUGUGGUUUAGGGUCUGAAAAACUCGUACAGUUUAUGUGUUGUCGUCAGCUUUUUCUCUUGCAUAUUCAGGAGAUUGGAGUUAAAUAACAGCACUAAAUUG